rnacentral:lncRNA from 1 species
UCAAAAGUGGAGAGAAAGACUUUAUUAGUAUAUUGUGUGAAGAGAUUCCAUCAAGACACAAGUAACCACACUGUCCACCACCACCUCCCCCCACAAUCCCACUGCCACCCCCACCACCUACGCCACUUCAUUACAUCUAUACAUUAUUACCAAAGAAACUACUAGAAUUUUAAGAAUCUUGUAAGGAUUUUUUCUUUUGCACUCCCUAUAUAUAGGGUUAGCUUCUUAACCAUUUCCAUCCACCAGAAACAUUGGCUUCUCUUCUCAAACACUUAGAUAUACUUAUAANN